UGGGGAAUAUUGGACAAUGGGCGAAAGCCUGAUCCAGCCAUGCCGCGUGUGUGAAGAAGGCCUUUUGGUUGUAAAGCACUUUAAGCGAGGAGGAGGCUACUUGGAUUAAUACUCUAGGGUAGUGGACGUUACUCGCAGAAUAAGCACCGGCUAACUCUGUGCCAGCAGCCGCGGUAAUACAGAGGGUGCGAGCGUUAAUCGGAUUUACUGGGCGUAAAGCGUGCGUAGGCGGCUUCUUAAGUCGGAUGUGAAAUCCCUGAGCUUAACUUAGGAAUUGCAUUCGAUACUGGGAAGCUAGAGUAUGGGAGAGGAUGGUAGAAUUCCAGGUGUAGCGGUGAAAUGCGUAGAGAUCUGGAGGAAUACCGAUGGCGAAGGCAGCCAUCUGGCCUAAUACUGACGCUGAGGUACGAAAGCAUGGGGAGCAAACAGG
rnacentral:rRNA from 1 species